rnacentral:tRNA from 2 species
UAGACGGAUGCUCGCUGGUUUGGGCGUCUAGCUGUUAACUAGGAAACUGUAGGAUCGAGGCCUUCCCGUCUAG